rnacentral:lncRNA from 1 species
GUUCUCUGCGGUGCCACAGAAGUGACGAGCAUAUCAUUUAAACAACAACUACCCAGUAUAGUCCCAUAAAGUGGGGUCUGGGGAGGGUAAUAUGUAGACAGGCAUGCUCAUGUGGUAUCGAUUUCGAUGAUGUGGCUUAAAAGCAUGAGUGGAGAGCGCAAAUAUGAAAAUCAUCCCUGUUAUCUUUCUUUCUACUUUCUUUUUCUUUGGUCACCGCUCUCCAAACACUGCUAUGCUUUCUGCUUCCAUCAAAAUUUAAUAUUUUCUGUCGAAUUGGCCUAAAAACAACAACAACAACUACCCAGUAUAGUCCCACGAAGUGGGGUCUGGGGAUGGUAAUAUGUAGACAGGCCUUACCCCUACCCGGAAGGGCAGAGAGGCUGUUUCAAUCGACCCUCGGCUCAGUGAAGGAAAGGAACAACAAAAACACAAACAACAACG